rnacentral:rRNA from 1 species
CCAGACUCCUACGGGAGGCAGCAGUGGGGAAUUUUCCGCAAUGGGCGAAAGCCUGACGGAGCAACGCCGCGUGAGGGACGAAGGCCUCUGGGCUGUAAACCUCUUUUCUCAAGGAAGAAGAUAUGACGGUACUUGAGGAAUAAGCCACGGCUAAUUCCGUGCCAGCAGCCGCGGUAAUACGGGAGUGGCAAGCGUUAUCCGGAAUUAUUGGGCGUAAAGCGUCCGCAGGCGGCUUUUCAAGUCUGCUGUUAAAGCGUGGAGCUUAACUCCAUUAUGGCAGUGGAAACUGAUAGGCUUGAGUAUGGUAGGGGCAGAGGGAAUUCCCGGUGUAGCGGUGAAAUGCGUAGAUAUCGGGAAGAACACCAGUGGCGAAGGCGCUCUGCUGGGCCAUUACUGACGCUCAUGGACGAAAGCCAGGGGAGCGAAAGGGAUUAGAUACCCCUGUAGUCCUGGCCGUAAACGAUGAACACUAGGUGUCGGGGGAAUCGACCCCUUCGGUGUCGUAGCUAACGCGUUAAGUGUUCCGCCUGGGGAGUACGCACGCAAGUGUGAAACUCAAAGGAAUUGACGGGGGCCCGCACAAGCGGUGGAGUAUGUGGUUUAAUUCGAUGCAACGCGAAGAACCUUACCAGGGUUUGACAUCCUGCGAACCUCUUAGAAAUUUGAGGGUGCCUUCGGGAAUGCAGUGACAGGUGGUGCAUGGCUGUCGUCAGCUCGUGUCGUGAGAUGUUGGGUUAAGUCCCGCAACGAGCGCAACCCACGUUUUUAGUUGCCAGCAUUUAGUUGGGCACUCUAGAAAGACCGCCGGUGAUAAACCGGAGGAAGGUGUGGAUGACGUCAAGUCAUCAUGCCCCUUACACCCUGGGCUACACACGUACUACAAUGCUACGGACAAAGGGCAGCAAACUCGCGAGAGCUAGCAAAUCCCAUAAACCGUGGCUCAGUUCAGAUCGUAGGCUGCAACUCGCCUACGUGAAGUAGGAAUCGCUAGUAAUCGCAGGUCAGCAUACUGCGGUGAAUACGUUCCCGGGCCUUGUACACACCGCCCGUCACACCAUGGAAGUUGGCCAUGCCCGAAGUCGUUACUCCAACCCUUGUGGAGGAGGACGCCGAAGGUGGGGCUAAUGACUGGGGUGAAGUCGUAACAAGGUAGCCGUACCGGAAGGUGCGGCUG